CAUAAUUCACAUAUUUUACAUGGGAUUGUGAGACAAGUCUCAUGAGCUUUUUUUUUAUUUUGCAAUGCACCAGCUUUGAAUUAAAAAUGUACAUGGACAAAGGAUAUUGCACAUUUAAUUAUCUGCUACAUUUUCAAGCUAUAUUCGAUAAAAGGUGCUUUAUUAUUCAAAAGUUAGUAUUGCAAUGAUAUAAUUUCUAACUAUGUUUUGAAGAUAUGUGCUUGGUGCUUGUGGAUGCAUGACAUUGAAGUUCUCUAACUGAUCUGUUCGUUUUGUUUUGCAAUUGGGAUAAUUUGCUUUCUAUUAUUAUAUAAUCACUUUCAUCAUUUAAUGUUGGUGCUACUGACCAACACUUACGUACAAGUUUUUUUUUAAGAAGAGAGCUUUUUCAUAAGUUGUGUAAAAAUAUUAUGGGAAUGAAUUUGCCAACUGGAUAAUCCAAUGGUGUCUACAGGCUAUAUUUUCCGAAUUGAUUUAUUUGUUCACUUCUAGAGAAUGGUACAAGCCAUAGAGCCAAAAUAAUUUGUCAAAGGACAUUUCACUUCAAAUUAAUAGAACUAUUACAAUUACGAGCACUCAUUUCAAAUUUUUGGUCAGUAUAGACAAUACGGCCCGCAUGAUAUCUUUGGGUUGUGGUAGGUUUUCUUGGCGAAUUCUUUAGCUUAACUGUUGUGUGAUCGUUAUAAUUUUCAAGAGCAACUGUAUCACGUAUUCCAUAUGCCGUUCUGAGCCCUCUUUUCUGUUUGACUAUUUACUUCUAACUAAUUGAUAUAUUUGAUUUGUAUCUUCUACUAGGAAAUGCAGUUCUGUAGUUUUUGCAUUUAAGACCCAGCAUAUCACUUACAUGUGCAGUUAUGUCAUCCCGAUUCUCCAUUUUCUUUGCUUAAUAUAUAUGUUCAGAUCAUGCUCCAGUCUGUGUUACAAAAAUAUGUAUGACUGUUACAUGCUAGAUCAAUAUGGUCUGGCCGUAGCGAGGUAUCAUAGUUGUUUUAUCUCCCUUUCUCGAUCCUCCAUUUCUGGAUGCACCAUUUUGAAGUGCCCCUGAGAUAUUGUGAUGCCUUCACAAUCUAAGAAUGAUAUUUUUUUUGUAGUUAAAGCGGAAACACAGCAGAGUAGAUAAUGAGGUAGCUGAAUGAAAAAUAACAGGCUUGGUGUUAACUAUAGUAUUUGUGAAUUUAGAUUGGCAUAUAUAGCUAAAUCUACUUUUUGCCCGUCAUUCUAUUUUAAUAGCAUUUGUCCAUGCUUUUACAUUUUGCUUUGUAUCACUAUGAUCUUUUUUGAGACUGACAUAUGUUUCUUUGAAUAGAGUCAAGGUUGUGUCUGCUUUCUUAUGUUACUAUUGUGAAAAUGUAGGCAUGAGUUUGCCAUACUUGAUAAGGAAGAGAAUAUAUGAAGCUAGGCCAAAGUUAGGGACCGACACUGCUGCUAGCUCAUGUGGAACGGGCAACAAACCAAACCAGAAGUUGGUCUGAUGUAUCUGCAAAUGGUGUAUGUGUAUAAGGUCAUGUUCUGUACAGCCAUAUCUUCAUGACGGGCUCGGCUGCAGGGGCUAGGUGAGAGCUCAUCAGGUAUAUGUUAGUAAUGCUCACUACCUCGGCGUCCACUGGUACUUGGUGCGACUUCCAUACAUCAUCAAGCUAGCGAGAUGGGCUCACCGCCUUGACAGCAUCAAGCUAAUGUGAUGCCCUUAUUAUUUGCCUAUAUGCUUCCGCUGGAUGUGUCUUCUAUGCUGCGGCAUUGACCUGCUGUGGUAGCUACGUAGAUAGGGCUAUGUAAAAGUUAUUUUGUGUAAGUGCAGUACAUCCUCUGGCUGAUUGGGAGGCUUGUAAGACAAUCCUUCAUCCAGACCCUAUGUUGAGAAUACGGGCUUAGCUUUAUAUGCUCUUUAACUACUCCUAUGCAUGACACGAACUGUUGCCCAGGAAGAAUUUUUGUUGAUACACUUUC